rnacentral:snRNA from 1 species
AUUCCGUCCAAGGCUAAAUACG